GUUACAGUGGCCGAGUGGUUAAGGCGAUGCCCUGCUAUCUAUCAGCAGUCCAGGCAUUGGGUUUUACCUGCGCAGGUUCGAAUCCUGUCUGUGACG